rnacentral:rRNA from 1 species
GACAGAGGAUGCAAGCGUUAUCCGGAAUGAUUGGGCGUAAAGCGUCUGUAGGUGGCUUUUUAAGUCCGCCGUCAAAUCCCAGGGCUCAACCCUGGACAGGCGGUGGAAACUACCAAGCUGGAGUACGGUAGGGGCAGAGGGAAUUUCCGGUGGAGCGGUGAAAUGCGUAGAUAUCGUUUGGAACGCCAAUGGUGAAAACAACUUGCUGGGGGUGUGCUGACGCUGAGACACGAAAGCCAGGGGAGCGAACAGG